AAAAAACAAACAAACGCUGCCUAUGAGCAGUGUCAGUUGUUCUGUUAUGCGAGAAAUUUUUUUUUUUUUGGGUCGACAAUGUUGUCUAAUUGCUAAUAUUUUUGUAGUCUUUCUUUCUUCUCUAUAUUUUCGAGGAAUUGUGCUCACCGACUGCCGGAUAAGAUAUCAGGAAAGUGACUAAGUGGAAUAUGGGGGCAAAAGGACAAGAAAGACAGGAAAGACUCCCAGGGAGGAGAGACACUGCCUGCAGCGACCGCUUCACUCGUGGGCCACCGUCCCUGUCUGGAUCACCUUUACUACGUGGUCAGUCUGUGGCUGAACGCAGCUGAGAGGGCUACUCUAAAUUCCGUGAGGCCAGGUCAUAGCAGUGGCAGGGAGGGAU